rnacentral:rRNA from 1 species
AGGUAGCGAAAUUCCUUGUCAGGUAAGUUCUGACCCGCACGAAAGGUGUAAUGAUCUGGGCACUGUCUCGACCAUGGACUCGGUGAAAUCUUAAUACCUGUGAAAAUGCAGGUUACCCGCAUCAGGACGGAAAGACCCCAUGGAGCUUUACUGUAGCUUGAUAUUGAAGUUUGGUAAGUUAUGUAGAGGAUAGGUGGGAGACUAAGAUACUGAGACGCCAGUCUCAGAGGAGUCAACCUUGGAAUACCACCCUUAGCUUAUUGAAUUUCUAACCUAGACCCAUAAACUGGGUCAGGGACAGUGUCUGGUGGGCAGUUUGACUGGGGCGGUCGCCUCCCAAAAAGUAACGGAGGCGCCCAAAGGUUCCCUCAGAAUGGUUGGAAAUCAUUCGAAGAGCGUAAAGGUAUAAGGGAGCUUGACUGCGAGACCAACAAGUCGAGCAGAUACGAAAGUAGGGCUUAGUGAUCUGACGAUACAGAAUGGAAUGGUCGUCACUUAACGGAUAAAAGUUACCCUGGGGAUAACAGGCUGAUACCACCCAAUAGUUCACAUAGACGGUGGUGUUUGGCACCUCGAUGUCGGCUCGUCACAUCCUGGAGGUGGAGUCGCUUCCAAGGGUUGGGCUGUUCGCCCAUUAAAGUGGCACGCGAGCUGGGUUCAGAACGUCGUGAGACAGUUCGGUCCCUAUCCGAUGUGGGCAUAGGAAAAUUGAAGAGAGCUAUCCUUAGUACGAGAGGACCGGGAUGGACAAACCUCUGGUGUAUCUGUUGUAGCGCCAGCUGCAGCGCAGAGUAGCUAUGUUUGGAACGGAUAACCGCUGAAAGCAUCUAAGCGGGAAGCCAACUUUGAGAUGAGUUUUCCCAUACGCAAGUAGUAAGAUCCCAAAAAGACGAUUUGGUUGAUAGGCUGGAGAUGGAAGCAUGGUGACAUGUUGAGUUGACCAGUACUAAUAGAUCGAGGAUUUAAUCAU